GUCUUUUUAAUCAUUUCAACCGAAAUUUCGGCAGGGAGGAUACUUUGAAGUACCUCAUGUCAGAUUUCGAAGGGACUUUUUAUUUUCUUUUUUUAGGUUAGUUUGUUUAUUAUUAUUUUAUUUUUUAUUUUUUAGAAAAAAAAAACAAAGAAAUGAAAGUCACGUGAGUGACUUUCUUCCUUCCUCUUUUCUUUUCUUUUAUUUUAUUCAUUUUGUUUUUAUUUUAUUGAUUUAUUUAUUUAUUUGUUAAAGUCUUUUUCUCCAAGUCUCAGCUGCAGGGGUAUUUUGGUCUUUGAUCUGUACCAGAGCCAACCCUAAUUUGUCACUAUAAAAGCCUGUCAAUCAUUGGGAAAUGGGCCAGAGAAAAAAUCACUGUUCACAGAAAAAUCAGCAACCACACAUUUUUUCCAAUCAAGUCACAAACACAAUUUCCUUCUCUCUCUCCUCUUUACCAGAUCAAACACAAAAAUCAUAAGAACAAAUAUGAAUAUCACCAACAUUCACCAACAACAUUCAUGAACAUUUGUUAACAUAAACAGCACAAAUUCACAAAACCCAACUCGAACCCACACAUAACACAACGAACAGAACCGAAUAAAAAAAAACAACAAAUCCGAACCCAAACAGCAAGAAACGAACCGGAGCAACCGAACCGGAACAAAGGAGAAACAGUACCGAACCGGAGAAGAGGGAAGGAACCGAACCAGAGCAAGGAGAAACGGAACCGCACCGGAAAAAGAGGUAAAAUUUUCACAUCUUUAUUUGUAGAUCUAGGAUUUUUGGUGCAUGUUUUCGAAAUUUUGAGUUUAGAUUCGAGUAGAGGAAGGGAAGAGGAGUAUUUUGAUGUAAAAAAUUUUCAAAAAAAAAGCAAAAAAAAAACUCCGGCGCGGCGGCGCUCCGGCCGACCACCACGCCGGAGCAGCUCCGGCCGCCCCUCUUCAUCUUCUCCGGUCGCGUGUUCUUUGAAGGAGGGGAGAGCUUCUCUCUCUAAGUUUAACUUAGAGAGAGAAGUGUUUUAGUUUUAUGUUUUUUUUUUUGUUGUUAAAAUUGCUUUUAUAGUGCUUUCUUUUUUUGCUGGAUCAUACGUGCGCGUAUUCAUAAUCUUACGAUGUUCCAUCGCGUUAGUAGCCAUCAGAUCUGGAUCGUUCCUUGAUCUGACGGCUACCGUAUGAUCUGUUUUUAAAUCAAGUGUGUGUUUUUUCUGCGUGAGUGUGGUGUGGCUUCUGUUUGGACCGUCAGAUCGUUGAUCUGACGAUCACUGUGUUUUCAGUUUAAUCCCUUUGUUUCUAUGUUGUUUUUGUGACCCUUGGAUCGUUGGAUCCAACGGCUGUGAUGAAUCCAGUGACUGAAUCUGGACAAUUGAUUUAAUCCAAUGGUCCAGAAUUAAUCCUGCUGAGCCAAUGUUUUAUUAUUUCUUAUUUUUAAUUGUCUUUAUUUUUAAAUACUGUUUUUACAUUUUUUUGACAUUUUUUGUGUUUAGAAAAAUUCCAAAAAAUAUUUUUCUCACUAUUUUAAUUUUCUCUAAUUUUAAAAAUCCAUUCUAUUUGUUUUCUUUUAUUUUAUUUUUUUUGUUUAUUUCUUAUGUGAUGACCUUAAUUAUUAUUUGUCUUAAUUCUUGCUUAUUAUUUCUCAUGUCUCAUUCAUCAUAAUAUUUCUUGUGAUUACUAACUAUUUAAUUUUUGUCUUGAAUCAUAGCAUGCACAUUUAAUUUUUCCAUCAUUUUAUUUUGUCAUUGACUUAGUGUGUAUAAAUAGGGAAUUGAUGUAAUUUUAUUUCUUGCAUUUUAUUUUGGCAUAAAGGCCUUAGGGUUGUAUUUAGGAAUUGAUGUAAUAAUGUAGGUAACACAAGCACCGACACAUGCACCGACACUACCACAUUUUAUUUACCGCUUUCCGUUAGUUUUUACGACGUUACGUUAGUUUUCACCGUUAGUUUAGAAAAAUCAUUUUCUCAAAAAGUCAAAUAUGCAAAACUUCAAAAAUCAUUUUCUUAAUAACUUUUUUCCUUUAUUUUCUUAAUCAAAUUCUCAAUCAAUUUUAAUUCAACUUCAAUCAUUUUCAAAAUUUAAAAUCAAUCAACCUCACUUGUUUUCUUUAUCUCAUGCCUUGAGGCCUCUUUCUUUUCUUAAAACCCAUUUUCGAAAAAAUCUUAAAAUCAACCUAACCCACCAAAGAAAUUCUUGAGUGGAACUACGUCAGUUUUGAUCCCUUUCCCAAAAAGGGUACGUAGGCAGAGGACUCGUCCUUCCAAAUCAAAUAAAAAUAACCAAAAACAUACUUCUUCUCCCUCCAUUCUUUCACUUAGACAUUAGGCAAUAAUUUUUUCAAAUAAACAAGUAGUUUAGCACAAAAUAAUUUAGGUAAGAGGUUCCUAUGGAAUACCAUGGACGCUUAGGAUGCUAGCACCUUCCCUUCGCGUAACCAACCCCCGAAUCCAAAGUCUCGAUAAGGGUUUUUACUCAUUUUUUACCUUCCCAAGAAUAAAAAUCGAGAGUUCAAAGAUUGACGAUUCAAAUCAAUUAAUGGUUUGAUAUCCGAAAAUCGCGAGCACACAGUGACUGGGCAACGUAAGGUACAUUGUUAUAAAAAUUCAUGUAAAAGUAGUUAUGUAUGUGUUUUAUACUAUAAACUUUAGGUUUUUAAUUUAUGAUUGUUUUUUUCUUGUUGAUCGUGUCUAGUCCCUUUAUAUCUCUAGACAAGCCAUUAGAUAAUCUUCAUAAAAAAUUAUAAAUAUCUCAAUAAUUAGAUUUAAUCAAACGGUUCAUAUUUAAGGGAGAAUGAACUAGGAAAAAUCGGAGAGAAUAUGAUUACAUAUUUUAGCUUCCAUUUUCUAAUAAAAUAGAUGACCUUUAAUCCUAAAGGCUUUUCAAAUAUGAUAUAUAUAUAUUUGGAGUUUAUGCGUAAGAGGUAGAUCUGGAAAGUGAGGACCUUUUUGCUGAAGCAGCCAUGAUGAUUACAUCAAAUAUUGACAAUCAUAUUGGUCCCUUGAAGAGUUGGAGCAUUAGGCAUGAUGAUUACAUCAAAUAUUUUCAAUAGAACGUGAUUCAUGUGAUUAUCGUUACGGAGGAAUACCAUACAUGAUUGAAAGGAAAGCUGCUUCAACCAUUGAUUCUCUCUCAUUGUUCGUCUCUUGAAA
rnacentral:lncRNA from 1 species